UAGAGCCAAGAGGCUGGAGCUAGUGCGGAGGAUCUUUCAGAGAGGAUACCAAUGCAGGUAUCAGAAGGUGCAAAUGUACAGAAAGGAGAAAAAGGCAACUUGGUCUCAUAUCCCAAAGUGGUGCUUAAGUUGUCUUUGGACUGGUGAGCUGCAUACCUGAGUGUUCUGCAAACUGUGCUCCUACAAUCCUCACAGAGACCAUGAGCAAUUCAAAUCCACCAUGAAACACUGUAGUCUAGGGAUGAAGGCCAGAGAAAUGCAGAGAAAAAUGAAAUGAAGAGGCAGAUAUGUUCAGAAUGGAAAUAAGCUCUCUGUUUGAAGGAACAGAUGCUGAGUCCAGCAGGACUAUUCCAUUAGAAAAAUCUCAUGCUGAUCUCACCAUUAAAAAUGAAAAAAUGUUAGUGCUAUAAGAGGGAUCGGGAGAGGUGUCUGAGUCUUGCGUCUGAGUCCUGGUUCUGGGAUAGUGCCAAUGAUGACAAUGAAAACGGCGAUGAUGAUAAUGUCUCAAAUGUUUAUAAAGAUGCCCUUUCUCUCUGUCCCCUUUCUCUGUCAAUGCCUUUUCUUAUGUGCAGUUUUCUAUAUACCAACCAAUAAA